AAUCUUGCGCAAUGGGCGAAAGCCUGACGCACCCAUGCCGCGUGAAUGAUGAAGGUCUUAUGAUUGUAAAAUGCUUUCACCGGGGACGAUAAUGACGGUACCCGGAGAAGAAGCCCCGGCUAACUUCGUGCCAGCAGCCGCGGUAAUACGAAGGGGGCAAGCGUUGCUCGGAAUUACUGGGCGUAAAGGGAGCGUAGGCGGACAUUUAAGUCAGGAGUGAAAUCCCAGAGCUCAACUCUGGAACUGCCUUUGAUACUGGGUGUCUUGAGUGUGAGAGAGGUAUGUGGAACUCCGAGUGUAGAGGUGAAAUUCGUAGAUAUUCGGAAGAACACCAGUGGCGAAGGCGACAUACUGGCUCAUUACUGACGCUCAGGUACGAAAGCGUGGGGAGCAAACA
rnacentral:rRNA from 1 species